UUGAACGCUGGGGGCGGCGUGCUUAACACAUGCAAGUCGAACGGGAUCCAUCGGGCUUUGCUUGGUGGUGAGAGUGGCGAACGGGUGAGUAAUGCGUGACCGACCUGCCCCAUACACCGGAAUAGCUCCUGGAAACGGGUGGUAAUGCCGGAUGUUCCAGUUGAUCGCAUGGUCUUCUGGGAAAGCUUUCGCGGUAUGGGAUGGGGUCGCGUCCUAUCAGCUUGACGGCGGGGUAACGGCCCACCGUGGCUUCGACGGGUAGCCGGCCUGAGAGGGCGACCGGCCACAUUGGGACUGAGAUACGGCCCAGACUCCUACGGGAGGCAGCAGUGGGGAAUAUUGCACAAUGGGCGCAAGCCUGAUGCAGCGACGCCGCGUGAGGGAUGGAGGCCUUCGGGUUGUAAACCUCUUUUAUCGGGGAGCAAGCGUGAGUGAGUUUACCCGUUGAAUAAGCACCGGCUAACUACGUGCCAGCAGCCGCGGUAAUACGUAGGGUGCAAGCGUUAUCCGGAAUUAUUGGGCGUAAAGGGCUCGUAGGCGGUUCGUCGCGUCCGGUGUGAAAGUCCAUCGCUUAACGGUGGAUCCGCGCCGGGUACGGGCGGGCUUGAGUGCGGUAGGGGAGACUGGAAUUCCCGGUGUAACGGUGGAAUGUGUAGAUAUCGGGAAGAACACCAAUGGCGAAGGCAGGUCUCUGGGCCGUUACUGACGCUGAGGAGCGAAAGCGUGGACG
rnacentral:rRNA from 1 species